rnacentral:lncRNA from 1 species
CGCUUUUGGAUUCAGUUUCACCCCCGGCGUCAGCAGGGGUAGAACGCGUUUCGGCACCGUCCAGCAACGUGGGUCUCUCGUCUAGGACGUCGUGCGUCGUCCUGUCGAAGCUCGUUUCUUCUCAUUGCCAAUCUCUCCUCUCUUUCCUACAACUUUCUUCUCUCUUUUUCUCCUCUCUGUCUGCCUCCCCGUCAUAAAACAGCCGCGAGUAAAACGAGUCGAUGACGAAUCGGACGCGACGCCCGAGUAGGUAUUCGCGCGUGUGGUUGGACAGUCGGCGCGACGAGAGCCCGGACGCCCAGACUGCGGGACUGUGAUCGCGACUGCCACUGCCAAGCGUCGAAUCGAGGACGCCGUCUAGCUGCGUCGACGACGACGACGACGACGCUUCGCCGCGAGUGUGAACGUUUCCCGUCCGGCUUGUUUCCCCGGCGAAACGAAGAACGCGAGCGCGAAACGGAGUGAGAUAAAAGAGCCGUCGUUUGCGAGCGCGUCUGCUGCUGUUGUGGUGUUCUGGUGCUGGUUGAUGAUAAUAGUAGUAGUAUAGCAGUACUAGUGGGUUGCCGUGGGUAGUAGUAACAGUGGGUGAACAGCACACGUAAACGCUUGACGACGACGACAACGACGACGUACACAGCGUGGAAAAAUGCGGUGAACCACCCCCCGGCGAUUCCGCCGCGCGCUUCGAGGCAUUCCUCAAGCAGUUCGCCCAUUCAGGAUCUUAUGGAGAAUAUUGCCGAUACGGCGAUUGUCAGACGUUACGACUACCUGAAGGAUGCUAAUUAGAAGGAUCAGAAACUGGCGAGACGACGUAUCGCAUCGCUGCGCUAAAGCCUCCGUUUAACGGCGAGCGAGGCAGGACGAGAAGGUCCCGGUUCCAGUCCCGGAGGAAGGAACAGGAACGCGUAAAACGGAGAGAGGGUAGUCGAGAGGCAAGGAAGGCGAAGCCCAGCAGCUUUUCCCCAGCAGCGACGCGACAGCAGCAGCAGCAGGUACAUAACGUAAAAAUUUAAGACUAUUAGGCCAGAGUCAGAGCCGUUCACCCUAACAAUGGCGACAUCGGUAUUUAGCCUCGGGGUAGAAUGUUCCCUCGCCAAUGGAAUCUUUCGAGGAACGACGUCGGAAUGGCCAUCGGACGCGAGACGGAAAGAACCUCGUCAGAAUAAAGGGAAGAACGCGGGGGAUGAACGGCACGAGCGGAGACUAGACGCGGGGGCGCGGCAGAAACGUGCGCCGUGGAAAAAUAAGAAUUUCAAAUCCAAUUUUCCAAGGCAUAUUUAAUAGGCAUCCCUCCGCCGUCGCGGCCGCCAUCGCCGUCGACCCAAACCCAGCCCUCCUUCCCUCCGUCCAUCAUCUACGGCGGAGAGUUUGCCACCUUUGGAGUCCGUCUCUCCCCCGCCGAGAAAAUGAAUAAUUGAGGAAUACAUUAAAUUAGGACGGGGCUCUAGGAAAAAAGAAGGGAGGGGGCGAAAGAAGGGAUUUGUCGGCGGCGACUUUCUCGUUAUCGCUUCGCGUUAGUGCGCGAAUCGGGACGAAUGCGCUCGGCGGAUUACGAGGCUCUCGCGAUAGGGUGCCGCCACUUCCGAGUGUAUCUCCGCCACCCGUGCUCACGAAAGAUCCUGUGCGACGUAAUAUCCCGUAAUAGACGCCAACUAUUUCUCGAUCGCGCGCUAUUACACGGCCAGAGCCGAGCUUAAUAGCGUGCGAGCGUAAACGCGGCGGAAUCGGCCGAUAAGCUGGGAGAGCGGUCGACCAAAGUUCGCAGAAUUAAUUCGACGCGUCGAAUAACCGUGACUUAUAAUCGCGGCUUUCCACGUGUUCUCUUGGUCUACGCAGCAGCCGCGCGUGCGAUAUAUCGACGAGCGAGCAGCGUUACCUCACCUGUUCCAACGCUGACCUAUUCAGGAUAAGAUAAGGAAGCGGAUUUUCGUUGGUGCACGAAAGAGACGACUUAAUGCCUCGAGCUCGAGGCGCCGAGGGUGCCUUGCGUGGGCUCAACGGUGACGUUAAUCGGCUUUUCUAGUAAGUGGCGUAUCACUCGAAAGAGAUAAAUCGAGACUGGGCGCACGACUGUUCCGUUCUACCUUGCGGGUUUGUUGCCCGUUCCAAUUAGCCGCGAUUCUUCGGCUGAAGACUUCAAUCAAUUUCACGGAACACUAGGUCACAGAUGCUACCAAUUACUACCCCGCCGUCUUUCUCUAGCAUCCGUCGCCUCUACCGUGUCUUCAUGUCCAGCAAGAAGUAGGGUAAAUGAUUUUUCUCUCCUCUGGGACCAACGGCGGGUGCCGAUCGAACGAACGAAAGCCAUUUGACGACUUUACUCCAAUAAUUGUCGUGAGAGCUCUCGCGACUGUUACGACAUACCAGUAGUUGAGCGUCUGACCCGUUCCUCUGCUGACUCUCUCGUUCCUUCGUUCCCUUCCUCCCUCCUUCUCUCUCUCUCUCUCUCUGCCUUGCGUUCUUUUUUUGCAAUGAACGGUAAUAAUUUUCUCGACUCGAUAAAUCCGAUACGACGGAACGACGAAUUACGGUAAAGACCGCUCCAGAAUCGUUUAACGUUCAUUUUCGGCGAACCGUAUUUGCCGCGCCUCCAUGAGGCAGAAAAUACAUUAUUCAGUCGAUCAUACGGGAACUUAAUUGGUCGUGCCGCGCGCGCAAUUAAUUCCGCGAGACCACGCACGCACGAAUGAUACCGAUACUUCUCGAAAUUGCCGCCGUUCGACCGUGUGCUUAGUCUCGCGUGUAAGGUAUUAACGUUGGACGGUACUACCAGGUGGUUCUCCUUAUAAUUAAUUAUACAAUGUGAGACGAGUUCCUCGCCGCGACCUGCAAGGCUUCGUCCUGUCUUAGAUAAUGAAUGGUAGACGGUCUUAAUCUCCUUUUGGAACCGCAAUUUUUCCGAGGAUCUAUCUUUUUUUUCUUUCUUUUUUCCUCUCUCUCUCUCUCCUUUUUUUACUAUCGACGGCACACUCGCGAGAAAAUUUCAGACCCCGUAUUUCAGAGGUGGUCGGAGGAUCCGUUUAUGUCCCGCUAUAAAUUUGGAAUCGAUGUCUAUAGUCUUUGAACGUACGUACUUGGGCGUACGAAUUAGUUUCAAGAUCCUCGAUCUGAUCGAGUCCCAUAAAAACGACUAUGUCUUUGCGUUUCUCUGUGAAGGAAAGCGUUUCCGGCUUUUACGUCAAAGGCGAUCACGGAUUCGUGUGCAAUACGAAAGUGGAAAGACUAAUCCGCACUUGCACGUCCAAAAAUGUUCAAAUCUCUGAUAAGAAAGAUCAGCAUAAAAGAUUCCAAAUAUUCAGCCUCAAUAACUAAAAUAAUUAAAACUUUUUUUCUGAAGAAACAAGAUGAGAAUUUUUGUCUGUUGAAGAACGCAGUAGAGAACUGCAGCGCAUAAAAUGCAUCAACUUUUAAAGUUACAGACGAAUCUCGCUUUUGAAGGCAGAUAUUUAAGUUUAAAUGGCUCGUAACAAACGACAAAUUGUUCUGCAAGAUUCAGAAAAUGUUGCGCUACACGCCUGCCGCAAUUUCCGAUUUUACUUUACAGUCACUCUUUCCUGAGCCUCGUUGAAUAAUGCAGCCGCGCCCGACGAAACGCGUGAUGCCGAGAGCCGACUAUUUAUAAAACAAUGAAUAAUCAUCGACGGUGACGAUGUGUCUGUGGGUGCGUAAAGCAAUUACGCUGCAGGUCGUACAAUUUAUUUUAGUGCGUCGUUUCUGCAGCCGUUUCAGUUGAAGAUCGCGCUUCAACUGCGCGAUAUAAAUACCGGUCCUUUCAAGCCAUUCUUUUUAACGUACAUAAAUGUGACGUAACACGCGCAUUUUUAACCCGCGCAUUCUUCAUGUUUCAUUCUUAUCUUGCAAUCUAUUUAUCACAACUUUUCAGAAUCACAACAAUAUAAAGCAAAUAAUGCUGAAAUUAAGUAAAAAAUAAAAUAAUAUUAUAUCAUAAAAUAAUAUUACAUCAUUGAUUAAUUGUAACAAGUUUUCUUCGCAAGAAUCGUUACCCAUAGACCUGGCACUUUGUUAGGUACCGAUCGGAGUAUGAAAUCAAGUCGGCGAUUUGCGGAAAACGAAUCCGCGGCACGUUAGCGGAGCGCUUACGUGAGUACUCUCUUCUGAGCGUUUUUCGCGAGCGGAUACGAUCGCACCCGACUGGAAGUUGUCCAAACCGGCCGACCCACGAACGAAGGCAGAACGCGAGGGAUAACUUAGAACGUUCUUCCUCUGCCACUCUUUUUUUCUGUUCCUUUUCGCCGCACACUGUGCCGCAAGCGUAAAACGAGCGAUAAAUUCUCUUGACCCAGCUGCGGUCAUUAGCCGACCCGUGGCAAGCUGCAUCGUCAGCUAGCGUCAGUCGUAUAUCACGAAAUUAAAACGCUGCCAAAUAAGCUGAUUACGGUCGCGUCGGUCAAACGUGCCCGCUUCUUCCUUAGACAAAUCUUCAUUUCGAGUCGUACGACGGUGUACGAGCUUACGGUUUCAAUGAAAUAAAACGUCCGGGAGAUCUUACUUUGCGCAUUUUCGUCUCUUCUUGCCAACAGUCUUUAAUGCUACUGCAAUUGCUACUCUUGCUCAUAAGCAACAGAAAUGAGAGAUUCGCGUGGCUCACGCCAUACUGCGUUCUCGCCCGCUCGCUUAUCCGAUACUUUAAAUAUACGUCAGAAACGUGGAGUUCGCUUUCGGGAAGUAAUGAAUCCCCGUCGCGAGAUGAAUAACAAGCUAUCGAUUACUAACGUACUGUAAUCGUAAACAGAUUAGUCCAUAUAUUAUUAUUGGCAGAUCUUCAAUGAAUACCAAUGCAAGAAGAGACGUGGCUUCGAUGGUAGAAUCAAGAAAUGAGAGCUGUCUCUUAGUCAGUCAUUAAGAACUCUGAGUUCCAGUACGCUUUAUCGAGAAAUUACCCUGCAAUGGAGACAGCGUACUAUCUUUCAUGUUUCCCCGGGGACGAGUUCGCGCUCAAAUCGUCGCAUAAAAAUCAAGUGUUUUAGCUCGCGAUUUGAACUUGUACUACAACUAUAUCUGACGUCGCAAUAAUCGUAGCCGUAGCGUCUAACGGCCCACGAAAGCACGAGGCGACCAACGGAACCGACUUCAUUUUAUGACAUCACGAAACUUCCAAAGUGGUGACCCAGAAACGCUUGUCGCUUUCACCCCCGAUCCUUUAGCUGUUAAAAAAGAGAGAAGGAGAGCUAUUUCGGUGCCCAUCAUAGGACGUAUAAUGCGGCGCGAAAACGCAUGAUACAUUUUUCAAUGGGCGCGAAGAAAAGUUUCUAGCGUGCGUGACUGGAACGCGGCAACACGUUUAUAAUAAUAAGCAUCCCUGCCGGAUCGCUAUACUCUCCGGGAACAAAUAUACUUAAGGGAGAAGGCGAGAGAAGGCAACGAAAAAAGGGAUGGCAAUCCCUGUGACGUUCUUUCCUCGCAUUAUAAACCCACGUUAUCGUCCGCUGAAACCGCGGAGAAUGCCGCAACAAAGGCAGGUCGGUUAGUCAUUGCAAACCCGCUGCAGCAACCUAGAACCAAGAGGGAAUGGAGAACGAGUUAUUCUUUCCGGGGAUGCAGAAAUAACGGUACGACAUUUCGAAAUGCACACGUGAAAGCUCAAAACCAAGAUGACUCAAAUACAGAUGCAGAUUAAUAAGAAAAGUACUGUGUGCGUAAUAAUAAUUUAUUAAUUAAAUUUGAUAUGAGAGACGAACGAUGAUUGGGGAACGAAAAGGCAACGUGGAGUAGAUAAAGAUGGCGAUAGCUAGCAGUAUAAGAGCGAUCGUGUAUCCCAUCUAAAACUGCAGAUAGAAGCUCGUAUGCCCGAGAGCCGCCGAUAAUGCACAUAAGUGCUAUCUGGCCAUUUCCUUCAGCCGUCGAGCAUUACGCCCAUAUGACUAAACCGCAGCAGAAAUCGGCGAAUGCGUGUUGCGCGGAUAUUGUAGAAUAAGAUUGGAUAAAACGGUGCCGCAAUACUGGGAACCGCUUUUAUACAAUCAAUCUUGUUCCGCCGGUAUGAAAUACUGCAGAGCACGGAAAAUUUCAUGAAUUUUAUUUUGUAAACGAUGAUUAUGAUACGAUGAAUUAAAAGAAGAUUCCUGACUGUUUACUCGCGGCGGCUGCGCAAUCUCGGACGAUCGCAUUUUAAGAAGAAAAUAAAAAGGUCCGAAGAAAAAACAAAUUACGUGAUCGGACUGUUUGAGCAGUUCAAAGUAGAAACGUUUGAGUUUAAUUCACUUGGCUUCACCUCAAGUUCAAGCAGUUCGGACAAAAUCAAUAGUACUGUUUGAUUGGAGUUCGCUCACUCCUUUCUUUCUCUUCGUGCAUAGCUUAGCUUACUAAUUUCUCUAAAUCCAAUCUCGAACAGCAUAAGGUUCGCGUUUGAAGUUCGAAUCGCUCCAAUGAAUCCCGUCACCAGGAUGGAACGUUAAAGAAGAUUGCGUAACGCACAUCGCGCCUGUUCCAGAGUUGCUUUCUGGGUUCCAGGAUAGUAAAGAGAGACUCGCUUAGCCCCGCAGUCAAAUCGAAGCGUUAUCACGGGAAAGUAUUACGUAACGUUAUCUGCGCGUGGUAUCUCUUACGCAGGAAUACCGUCAAAAUGUAUGUCGCAAAAUUCCGACCGCGUGCUGCAAAAUGCUAGAUUAAAUCGCGACGCGCGGAACAGUAUGUAAAUCGUGUGCCGCCGCAAUUAUGUACCGUAUACGAAGCGUAUGGCGUAAGCCCUUAAUGCGGCGCAGAAAUAAUAAAGGGAACGGGUAUAAGCGCGCGCGCCCUCGCUGGUGAACGCGCGAUGGAAGAUGUUGCAGGUGCAACUCGUGAAUCAACAUGACCCGUUAAGUCCGUGCGCGCUUCCUUGUUUUUCAAUAAAUCAUUCCUCGCGCGCGGAUUCGACGUAUCACCGCCGCCGACUACAGGCGGCCACGUUAACCGCACUCGCACACGUUGCACCGCCCAACCCCCGAGAAUCGAUCGACCUACAAUAGCGGCGAACACGAACGCCCGUCCGGUACUCGGACACAUCGGGAGGAAACGCGCGCUUUUGUCGUUGCCGGUAAAAAGGGAAGAAUGCGCGUGCGGACGCGCGUACGUCGCCAGUUCGUACCGUGGAAAAUUUACAAAACGUUGCGGCAUGCCACCAAAUUUACUGUAUUUGUACGAAUGUUAAUUGACGAUCAGAGAACCACGACCUUUGCCCCGCCAGCGAGGCAUGGCGCGAAGAGUUGAUUUAACGCGGGAUGACUUGUGGAUGGAAAAGUUGGAUCGAGCGAAUUACGUGGAGGAAACUGCUUUCGCCGAACGAUUCGGAGUCCCACGGGAGGCGUCUGAAAAGCGUACGAAAUUCCGCGAUCGCUUGGCACGCCUUGACCGUGCUUCGAGUCUCACAAUUUUGGAAAAAAGAAUUUCCUCCCCCGCAAGUAAUAUCGUCGGGGUUAAAUUGAACGCACGGCGAAUGGCUGAAAUAAGAAACGGGCAAAAGGACGAUCUCGCGGUUAAUUUAGAGAAACGUCAAAGUGUUCGAAAAAGUCCAUCUUCGCGUAGCAUCGUUAAGCAUUUUUGUUCCCUCGCGCUUACCCUCGGAUUACAGUCGUAAAAAAGGUUCAUCAACGACAACGAAGCAUGAAAAAUGGUUUCUUGCGUGAGCGAUGGAAGGCCUUAUAAUUUCGCCGAAGCAGAUAAGAAUGACGCGCGCCACUACGUCGAAGAGUUUCCAUAUAAUUCGCCUUUCUCUUUUUAUUUCUUCGUCCGAAGUUAAUUUUUAAGUGACGCACGUAAUGCAAGCUUUAAUUUAUAAUGAGUGGAACUAUCGCAGACGAAGAGUACAUGUUUCCACGUAAUUACAAAAAGUAUAGAUUGCUAACACUAGGAUGUUUUUCUCUCUCUCUCUUUCUGUACCGUUAUUUUUCACCGAUACUAAAUGCUAACUCGUGCAAUUUUGAUGUUUUUCAAUAAAUAUUGUUUGUUGCAAACAGAUUGCUUCGUAAAUACGUCCAAAAUGGAUGCUCCCCGACAUGUGCUGUUGAAAGAUAAAAAUUCGAUCUCCGUGUUCUCCUUCCGCUCCCAUCUCGUUAACCAGCCCCGUUGAUUAGCCCUUUCUUUGUCUUCAUCUUUGGCGUCUAUUUCUCCGGGGUAAUUACCUCUAUGUAUCGUUUAGUCCAGUCUCCCGUCUGGCAAUAAUUCUUCUUCUCUCGGGACGUCGAGCAUUGCACCGUCGUUUCCACCGCUAGAAAUCGAUAAUCGAGACUCUUGUGGGAACUGGUCUAGAACAAGGAAGCGAGAUGAAAUUAUUCCGAGCCUCGGAGUCGAAAGUCCCCCGGGACACCCGCCGACGGCGAAUUUCAUAUUUUUGCUCCUUAUAGAUGCCGGGCGUCGAAGUCUUCCAGAGGACCCUUCCGUGCCCAAUCUUCUCGUAAAGAGAACCCUUCGCCCCAUUGCCCUCGUAAAGAGCGUAUCUAGGGGUGAAAAAUAAUCAGAGGAACCCGAUAGAGCCGUAACUGCUCCUGAUUUAUAUAAGUAUAUCCUCUUAAACCGAAACGUGUCUACGUUUACAAAUAGGGAUGAAUCGCGGUAACUUUCCAAUCAUUAGCGAGACCGAUCAUUAGCGUCAUUCGAAAGAAUCAUGCUAAUGAUCGAUGAGAACGUCUCCACGUAGCAAUGACCGGUUCCCUGAAGAAAGCAGAUCGUUGAAAAAAAUUGUUAUAUCAGAGAUUACUCGUGUAGCUCUUUGAAGGGAGAAGGAUUUAAAGGAACUCGUCUGAUGACAGUGUAAAACGACGAAACCGUCGUGGAAGAAAGCGAUGCACCUAAAAUGGACCUCGCUGCGCGAAAAAGCGGGAGAGGAUCCAAAAGUAAUUUAUUUCCAUGCGUAAAAAGGAAAGUGGAGUAGAAGACAGCAAGAAACAGCGGACAAUAAGGCGGGCGGCCAUUACAACAGAGAAAGAGAUGGAUGUGUAACAAGAACGGGGGUAAGGAGAAUGUGUGCAAAGGGGUAAGCAGGGGGAGACACUUCAGGAAAUCGUACUAGGAGCUCGCCGGGAGUUUUCAUCCCGUUUUGGUGCACCGCUACCGCUACCCGAGAGGGGAACACGACAGCGCAAGAAAAAUAAAAGCCUUCCUUCUCCUCGCUCAGUACAGAAUGCCGCUUCUACGUUCUCUAUACCCUCUCCCCUCGUUGCAAGUCGCGUUUCUCCGUGCCACGACUUGCUUACUUUUCGUCCGCUUGUGCUCCAAGUUCCGUUUCCCUUUCUCGCUCUUCCUUGAUCUCUUGAGAAUUAUUAAAGGGAAAACACCCACAAAAUCCGUUUUCGAGAGAGUACGGGAGGGAGCGAACGGGAGGCAGGGGAAAAAGCGGUAACUCGCGGAUUCUGGAGUUGCCGUGGCUCGUGCACCAGCGAUCGUCCGCGCGACAGAUAAAGAUAAAUGUCGCAAACGAAAGAAAAUUACGUAUACUAGGAGCAGCGCCGCGAGAGCGCACGGCCUUUCGCUCGUGAAAUUUUUAAGCCGCCCAUAAAUAUUCCAUUCAUACUUUUACUCUGCCGCCGUUGGGAUAUAGUCGUGCAGCUUUUCCCUUCUCGCGCAGGGGAAAAAAAAAUACACGAACGAGAGCGAUCUGUAGUCGCGGGUUUCCAGCUCGCCCGCGCGCGAGCACCGGGGCAUGAUCAAAGCCACGUCAAGCCGGACGGAAACUCUCGGACGGAUAUUCCAUAUAUAUUGCAUGGCGGCUGCCUUCGAAUUUCGGAAGUUCGAUAGCUAUCGGCACCAUUAUUACGUACAAAUGGAAGUUCGGUCGAAUCGUGGCUGCCCUGAUUUGCCAUGUUUUACACCGUGCCUAACGAACUGGACAACAAUCGAUUUAACGCACGGUUUGCCUAAUUGCGUUUCGCGAUCAAAGCAUGAAGCGCUGAAGCGCGAGACAACGUCGAAAAUAUGAAGAUCCUUAUGCACUAUUAUGAGAUCGUGCAUAUUUAUUUCGCACGCUUUAAUAAUUCUAAUCGACGUCAAAUGCAUCUUGAUAUCUCUCUGUUUCGGUCUCUUUUAACGGCUACGGAAUAUCAGUUUAGAGUCACGUAAAUAAUUUUGUAGAAAAUGGCAAAACCACCAGGAAACAAACGC